rnacentral:rRNA from 1 species
GAUGAACGCUGGCGGCGUGCUUAACACAUGCAAGUCGAACGGAAAGGCUCCUGCUUGCAGGGGUACUCGAGUGGCGAACGGGUGAGUAACACGUGGGUGAUCUGCCCUGCACUUCGGGAUAAGCCUGGGAAACUGGGUCUAAUACCGGAUAGGACGAUGGUUUGGAUGCCAUUGUGGAAAGUUUUUCGGUGUGGGAUGAGCUCGCGGCCUAUCAGCUUGUUGGUGGGGUAAUGGCCUACCAAGGCGUCGACGGGUAGCCGGCCUGAGAGGGAGUACGGCCACAUUGGGACUGAGAUACGGCCCAGGCUCCUACGGGAGGCAGCAGUGGGGAAUAUUGCACCAUGGGCGCAAGCCUGAUGCAGCGACGCCGCGUGGGGGAGGACGGCCUUCGGGUUGUAAACGCCUUUCGCUAGGGACGAAGCGUUUUGUGACGGUACCUGGAGAAGAAGCGCCGGCUAACUACGUG